AACCGUCUAAGAUAUUCUCUUUCGUAUCGCUACCUAUAUAAAGCAGCCUCUGACUUCUUAUGGCAGUAGUAUCAACAGAGCAAUCUACAGUACACCACCAUGAAUAAGUUAACACUCGCUUUCGCUCUCGCAAUUUUUGCCUUUGUGGUCAGCUCUCAAGCUAAUUCGUUGCCGGUUGGAGAAGAAGAUUUGCAUGUGGUAGAGCUCACUCAACCAGAUGACGUUCGUAUCAAAAGGUCCAAUUGCAAGGGUGGUAUUUGCACUAAAGAAUGUUGUACUGCCUACUGUAAAAGUCGGGGCUACAGAUACGGGUCCUGUCAUUAUAACGGCCCCUGUGUGUGCCAAAAUUAUUACAUUGCAUGAUUAAGUACAUAUUUAGUCAAUGACGCCGUUAAGAAUGUAACAAAACAAUAAAAUUAUUUUAUUGCA